AGACGUAGGGGGCGAGCGUUGUCCGGAUUUAUUGGGCGUAAAGCGCGCGUAGGCGGUUCGUUAAGUCGGGUGUGAAAACCCGGGGCUCAACCCCGGGCCUGCAUCCGAUACUGGCGGACUCGAGGCAGACAGGGGAGAGUGGAAUUCCCGGUGUAGCGGUGAAAUGCGCAGAUAUCGGGAGGAACACCGGUGGCGAAGGCGGCUCUCUGGGUCUGUCCUGACGCUCAGGCGCGAAAGCUAGGGGAGCAAACAG
rnacentral:rRNA from 1 species